CAGUGCGCUUUCAACUAAUAUGUGGCCCUAUAUUGUAACGCUUGAUAAACGAGUGUCGAAGGCACGAGCCGAGCGCCACAGGUGCGAGGUUUCUCUAGGGGGAUCCGGGGGCAUGCCCCCUGGGAAAAUUUUUGAAUUUGGGGUCUCUGAAAUGCUAUUUCCUGGACUUUGGGGGGAAGGUUUGACAGAAAUCUAAUGGUCAGGAAACGGCAUUAUAACGUGUUGAAAUUUGCAAUUUGGUUACAAUUUAGUAGUAGUACUUAAAUUGGGCAAUGUUAACUCAGUUCCAGCGAUUAAUCUAAUCCCAAUUCUAUUCUCUACUGAUCUGGUGAUCUGAAUAC